AACACCUUUAUUUAACCAGGUAGGCCAGUUGAGAACACCUUUAUUUAACCGGGUAGGCCAGUUGAGAACACCUUUAUUUAACCAGGUAGGCCAGUUGAGAACACCUUUAUUUAACCAGGUAGGCCAGUUGAGAACACCUUUAUUUAACCAGGUAGGCCAGUUGAGAACACCUUUAUUUAACCAGGUAGGCCAGUUGAGAACACUUUUAUUUAACCAGGUAGGCCAGUUGAGAACACCUUUAUUUAACCAGGUAGGCCAGUUAGGAACACCUUUAUUUAACCAGGUAGGCCAGUUGAGAACACCUUUAUUUAACCAGGUAGGCCAGUUGAGAACACCUUUAUUUAACCAGGUAGGCCAG
ensembl:lncRNA